rnacentral:rRNA from 1 species
UACAGAGGUCCCAAGCGUUGUUCGGAUUCAUUGGGCGUAAAGGGUGCGUAGGCGGCGCGGUAAGUCGGGUGUGAAAUCUCGGAGCUUAACUCCGAAACUGCAUUCGAUACUGCCGUGCUUGAGGACUGGAGAGGAGACUGGAAUUUACGGUGUAGCGGUGAAAUGCGUAGAUAUCGUAAGGAAGACCAGUGGCGAAGGCGGGUCUCUGGACAGUUCCUGACGCUGAGGCACGAAAGCGUGGGUAGCAAACGGG